rnacentral:rRNA from 1 species
AGUUUAAGUUGUGUGCAAGUGGUAGGAGAGCGUUCUAUUUGCGUCGAAGGUAUACCGGUAAGGAGUGCUGGAGCGAAUAGAAGUGAGCAUGCAGGCAUGAGUAGCGAUAAUUAAUGUGAGAAUCAUUAACGCCGUAAACCCAAGGUUUCCUACGCGAUGCUCGUCAUCGUAGGGUUAGUCGGGUCCUAAGUCGAGUCCGAAAGGGGUAGACGAUGGCAAAUUGGUUAAUAUUCCAAUACCAACAUUAGUGUGCGAUGGAAGGACGCUUAGGGCUAAGGGGGCUAGCGGAUGGAAGUGCUAGUCUAAGGUCGUAGGAGGUUAUACAGGCAAAUCCGUAUAACAAUACUCCGAGAACUGAAAGGCUUUUUGAAGUCUUCGGAUGGAUAGAAGAACCCCUGAUGCCGUCGAGCCAAGAAAAGUUUCUAAGUUUAGCUAAUGUUGCCCGUACCGUAAACCGACACAGGUGGGUGGGAUGAGUAUUCUAAGGCGCGUGGAAGAACUCUCUUUAAGGAACUCUGCAAAAUAGCACCGUAUCUUCGGUAUAAGGUGUGGUUCGCUUCGUAUUAGGAUUUACUCCGAAAGCGAAGAAACUUACAACAAAGAGUCCCUCCCGACUGUUUACCAAAAACACAGCACUCUGCUAACUCGUAAGAGGAUGUAUAGGGUGUGACGCCUGCCCGGUGCUCGAAGGUUAAUUGAUGGGGUUAGCAUUAGCGAAGCUCUUGAUCGAAGCCCGAGUAAACGGCGGCCGUAACUAUAACGGUCCUAAGGUAGCGAAAUUCCUUGUCGGUUAAAUACCGACCUGCAUGAAUGGCGUAACGAGAUGGGAGCUGUCUCAAAGAGGGAUCCAGUGAAAUUGUAGUGGAGGUGAAAAUUCCUCCUACCCGCGGCAAGACGGAAAGACCCCGUGGACCUUUACUACAGCUUGACACUGCUAUUUGGAUAAGAAUGUGCAGGAUAGGUGGGAGGCUUUGAGUAUAUGACGCCAGUUGUAUAUGAGCCAUUGUUGAGAUACCACUCUUUCUUAUUUGGGUAGCUAACCAGCUUGAGUUAUCCUCAAGUGGGACAAUGUCUGGUGGGUAGUUUGACUGGGGCGGUCGCCUCCCAAAUAAUAACGGAGGCUUACAAAGGUUGGCUCAGAACGGUUGGAAAUCGUUCGUAGAGUAUAAAGGUAUAAGCCAGCUUAACUGCAAGACAUACAAGUCAAGCAGAGACGAAAGUCGGUCUUAGUGAUCCGGUGGUUCUGUGUGGAAGGGCCAUCGCUCAAAGGAUAAAAGGUACCCCGGGGAUAACAGGCUGAUCUCCCCCAAGAGCUCACAUCGACGGGGAGGUUUGGCACCUCGAUGUCGGCUCAUCGCAUCCUGGGGCUGGAGCAGGUCCCAAGGGUAUGGCUGUUCGCCAUUUAAAGCGGUACGCGAGCUGGGUUCAGAACGUCGUGAGACAGUUCGGUCCCUAUCUGCCGUGGGCGUAAGAAGAUUGAAGAGAUUUGACCCUAGUACGAGAGGACCGGGUUGAACAAACCACUGGUGUAGCUGUUGUUCUGCCAAGAGCAUCGCAGCGUAGCUAAGUUUGGAAAGGAUAAACGCUGAAAGCAUCUAAGCGUGAAGCCAACUCUAAGAUGAAUCUUCUCUAAGCUCUCUAGAAGACUACUAGUUUGAUAGGCUGGGUGUGUAAUGGAUGAAAGUCCUUUAGCUGACCAGUACUAAUAGAGCGUUUGGCUUAUCU